CGGGAGCGCGGUGGGGCUAGGCGUGGGGCGCUCCCGGCAUGUCCCUGUACCGCAGCGUCGUGUGGUUCGCCAAGGGGCUGCGCGAGUACACCAAGAGUGGCUAUGAAUCUGCAUGUAAAGACUUUGUCCCUCAUGACUUGGAGGUCCAGAUUCCUGGAAGAGUCUUUUUGGUCACUGGAGGAAACAGCGGCAUUGGCAAAGCAACUGCCCUUGAAAUCGCCAAGCGAGAACAUUUUUCUGCACAUUGUGGACUUGUCUGAUCCCAAGCAAAUCUGGAAAUUUGUUGAAAAUUUCAAGCAGGAACAUAAACUCCAUGUUCUGAUCAAUAAUGCAGGUUGCAUGGUCAAUAAAAGAGAGCUCACAGAAGAUGGACUUGAAAAAAACUUUGCUGCCAAUACUCUGGACUGGACAUAUAGAUGCAUUUUUUCUUCUGCAAAGUGGACCCAUCUACGGUUUGGCAGUUUUCUUUUUCCCUUCCUGUAUUCCUGUAGUGUGGACAUCUUUUCCUGUCGGUACAUGAGGCUCUAAGGCAUCUUUCUUCCAGUCCUGGGAAAAGGAACAUUUGGCUUGAAGGAUCCUCGGAAGGAGGGACUGCCCCUCAGGUGUGUACAUUCUCACGACCGGCCUGAUCCCUGUGCUGGAGAAAGAACACGACCCCCGAGUGAACCUGUGACUAUGUCACCUUUAUAUAGCAGAAGGGACUUGGCAGCUGCAGUUCAGUUCAAGGCCUUGGGAUGAGAAGCGUGUCCUGGAGUAUCCAGAUAACCGUCUCCUCAGGAGGAAUGUUGGUUCAGAAACUGAACACCAAUGAUCUCCAGUCCGAAAGAACACCAUUUGAUGGAACUAUGGUCUAUGCACAAAACAAGGUGUGAGGCAGGCGAUGCCGGGGUUCCACGCCAGGUUCGGGGACCGCCUGCGCUCCGAGGCCCAGGGCGCGGACACCAUGCUGUGGCUGGCCCUCUCCUCUGCCGCAGCCGCACAGCCCAGCGGCCGCUUCUUUCAAGAUCGGAAGCCAGUUUCUACACACUUGCCUCUCGCUACAGCGUCCUCCUCACCGGCCGAAGAGGAGAAACUCAUUGAAAUCCUGGAACAGCUGGCUCAGACAUUUAAAUAGGCCAACCCAGACACAGUGCGGUACCAGAAUUGCCUUAGAAGAUACCAGAAGGUGCGGUCUAGGGACCAGUGAAUAAGAAGACCCCACUUCAACUUCCCCUCGAAGACGUUGUGCCUCACAGCGAGGCCUACAAGGGAUGGGAACUUUUAUUUCAAAAUAAAUACUACCGAGGCUGUGAUCAGGCUCACCUUG
rnacentral:lncRNA from 1 species